UGGGGAAUUUUGGACAAUGCGGCCAAGCGUAAUCCAGCCCAAUGGGGGAAAGGGAAGAAGGCCUUCGGGUUGUAAAAGGCUUUUGCCUUGGAGGAAAUAAACUCUUUUUAUACAUCAAGAAAAUGACGGUACCUCAAGAAUAAGCACCGGCUAAAUCUGUGCCAGCAGCCGCGGUAAUACGGAGGGUGCAAGCGUUAUUCUGAAUUACUGGGCGUAAAGAGCGCGUAGGCGGUUUUUUAAGUCAGAUGUGAAAUCUCCGGGCUCAACCCCUGAACUGCAUUUGAAACUGCCAACCUAGAGUAUGGGAGAGGGGGAUGGAAUACUGGUGUAGCAGUAAAAUAAGUAGAUA
rnacentral:rRNA from 1 species